CUGCAUUCUAUAGUUCAAGCAGUCACUUGAAUGCCAGUUUAGAUUCAAGAGGAGAACAAUUAGACUCCACCAAUGUCAGACUGCUAAAAUGUAAAGAAUGGCCAUCAGGAUUUUCUAGGGCAGCAUAAUUAUUCUGCGAGUAGGUAAAGGAGUUUUGAUUGAGAUGAAGAGGUCAUAGAAGUGAGAAGCACUGAAAGACACAGGAGGAAAUUUGACAGGCGAGGGGACAGCAGAGAUGCAUGCAUGUAGGAAUGACCAUGCGAGGCUGGAAAAAGAAGAUGCCACCUGCAAGCCAAGAAGAGAGAGGAGGCUCACCGCAUGUCUA
rnacentral:lncRNA from 10 species